GCAGAGUCAAAUACAUGUUAUGUUCUUUUCCCAUUUCUAGUCACAGAUAAUGAAUUACCAUCAAUCUCUAACUUAUGUACUUCUAGAAGACAAAACUGUAGAUUCUUGCUUCCAUCAAAUGACAUAGUCACAAUAAUCCAUUGACAACUGCAGCAGAAGGGAAUUUUAGGGAGAACCACCAAAAUUGGCUAACUCUUCCAGUUGGAAUUCUGCUUUAGGAAAAAGGAGAUUUCUUCUGUAUUUGUGUAUAAUUGGUGUUUGUCAGGGCCCAGUUAGCCUCAUUUAUCUUGCUGGUUUCAACCAGUUAGGUAAUUUAUUUAUUCUUCCAUUUAUAUGUUUGUUAUUUAUUUUGCCAUUACUGUUUGAAGGAAAAGGAGGAGGAUCUCUUUAGACCAGUAUUUUUUGCUACUGUGGUUCUUUCCUGUUUCUGUACCAUUGACCCAU
rnacentral:lncRNA from 1 species